ACAGCUUGGUUCCUGGUUAAGCUUUGAAAAACCUCUAUAAUGCUUGCUAAUACAAAACUUGGUAUCGCCCCUUGAUAGCCUUGCCAGCUGUUCUAAAAAGGCAUCAACCCUCUCUCUCACUUCUAAUCUCCUGAGAUCCAGAUAAGAUUCAAGUGCUUUAGCUGGAACUGUAAUUCCUCUUUGAUCGAACUACUUCCAUUUCUUCUUUCUUUUUCUAUGAGCAGCUUGGAUGAUGGGUACCGAGAAUUUCGGUUUGUUGGAAACGGCCGGAACGGGCGAGGAGUCUUCGAAGGAAGGAGUUGCGGCUGGAACGGCACCUAAUUGUUUCGGGUCAAACUUCAGUGGACUCGGUCUCGGGUCAGGCUCCGGAUCCAGGUCUGUGGGGCUCUACUUGUACUUGGGCUGCUGGAUUUGAAUGUGUAACACUUGUAUUUGGGUUUUGGCCUUAUUCUAUAAAUGAAUGAAAAAAUAAAUUAAUAUGUA